rnacentral:rRNA from 1 species
UACAUGCAAGUCGAGCGCGCCUUCGGGCGAGCGGCGGACGGGUUAGUAACGCGUGGGAACGUGCCCAGAUCUACGGAAUAGCCACUGGAAACGGUGAGUAAUACCGUAUACGCCCUUCGGGGGAAAGAUUUAUCGGAUUUGGAUCGGCCCGCGUUAGAUUAGGUAGUUGGUGGGGUAACGGCCUACCAAGCCUACGAUCUAUAGCUGGUUUUAGAGGAUGAUCAGCAACACUGGGACUGAGACACGGCCCAGACUCCUACGGGAGGCAGCAGUGGGGAAUCUUGGACAAUGGGGGCAACCCUGAUCCAGCCAUGCCGCGUGAGUGAAGAAGGCCCUAGGGUCGUAAAACUCUUUCGCCUGUGAUGAUAAUGACAGUAGCAGGUAAAGAAACCCCGGCUAACUCCGUGCCAGCAGCCGCGGUAAUACGGAGGGGGUUAGCGUUGUUCGGAAUUACUGGGCGUAAAGCGCACGUAGGCGGAUUAGAAAGUUAGAGGUGAAAUCCCGGGGCUCAACCCCGGAACUGCCUUUAAAACUACUAGUCUAGAGUUCGAGAGAGGUGAGUGGAAUUCCGAGUGUAGAGGUGAAAUUCGUAGAUAUUCGGAGGAACGCCAGUGGCGAAGGCGGCUCACUGGCUCGAUACUGACGCUGAGGUACGAAAGUGUGGGGAGCAAACAGGAUUAGAUACCCUGGUAGUCCACACCGUAAACGAUGAAUGCCAGUCGUCGGGUAGUAUACUAUUCGGUGACACACCUAACGGAUUAAGCAUUCCGCCUGGGGAGUACGGUCGCAAGAUUA